GCGAGAGUGGCGGAAUGGGUAGACGCACUGGAUUUAGGUUCCAGCGCUGCAAGGCGUGGGGGUUCGAGUCCCUUCUCUCGCA
rnacentral:tRNA from 1 species